ACAUUUUCACACAACCUAAGCAUAAAGUACGAACACAACUCAACCAUUAUUCAAACAAGCAUAUUCAUCAUUCUAGGGCAAUAAAAAAAUCAAGGAAAUGCAAUUCACAACAAGAUAAAAUCCCAAUAUCCCCAAUCUAAUCCAACAUGCAAGAAGAUGAUGAUUGGUGAAAAAUCUUCUUCUUCCUCCAAAACUCGCCCCACUCACUCUCUAACUCAACUCUCCACUUCAAUUCUAG
rnacentral:lncRNA from 1 species